GACGAACGCUGGCGGCGUGCUUAACACAUGCAAGUCGAACGAUGAUGCCCAGCUUGCUGAGUGGAUUAGUGGCGAACGGGUGAGUAACACGUGAGUAACCUGCCCCUGACUCUGGGAUAAGCGUUGGAAACGACGUCUAAUACUGGAUAUGAUCACCGGCCGCAUGGUCUGGUGGUGGAAAGAUUUUUUGGUUGGGGAUGGACUCGCGGCCUAUCAGCUUGUUGGUGAGGUAAUGGCUCACCAAGGCGACGACGGGUAGCCGGCCUGCGAGGGUGACCGGCCACACUGGGACUGAGACACGGCCCAGACUCCUACGGGAGGCAGCAGUGGGGAAUAUUGCACAAUGGGCGAAAGCCUGAUGCAGCAACGCCGCGUGAGGGAUGACGGCCUUCGGGUUGUAAACCUCUUUUAGUAGGGAAGAAGCGAAAGUGACGGUACCUGCAGAAAAAGCACCAGCUAACUACGUGCCAGCAGCCGCCGUAACAC
rnacentral:rRNA from 1 species